AUUGAACGCUGGCGGCAGGCCUAACACAUGCAAGUCGAGCGGAGCGGCGGACGGGUGAGUAAUGCCUAGGAAUCUGCCUGGUAGUGGGGGAUAACGUCCGGAAACGGGCGCUAAUACCGCAUACUAUCAGAUGAGCCUAGGUCGGAUUAGCUAGUUGGUGGGGUAAAGGCCUACCAAGGCGACGAUCCGUAACUGGUCUGAGAGGAUGAUCAGUCACACUGGAACUGAGACAAGGUCCAGACGCAGCCGGGAGGCAGAAGUGGGGAAUAUUGGACAAUGGGCGAAAGCCUGAUACAGCCAUGCGGCGUGUGUGAAGAAGGUCUUCGGAUUGGAAAGAAUUUUAAGUUGGGAGGCGUUACCAACAGAAUAAGCACCGGCUAAAUUCGUGCCAACAGCCGCGGUAAUAC
rnacentral:rRNA from 1 species